CCCCUCUCAGAUGAUGAAGAAUCUCUCCCAUCAUUAGAUCAAGCUAGUGGCAGUGUUAGCGCUAUGCCAAUGCUCAAUUAUCUUGCUGGAGGUGGGAUUGGAGUUGCUCCAGUGAUUCAAAGUGUGAACAGAGAUGAUGUAGUGCGACCAAAGAAAUCCAAAACAAGGGUUGGCAUCAGAAAGAAGAAGGCAGGGAAACAGG